rnacentral:lncRNA from 1 species
ACCCACUCACUGGUGAGCUCCGCAAGAGUGUACUUCUCUCCGUUCCUGGAGCGCCACGGCGUGCUGGUGCAUAGUAAGCAUCUGUCCAUGUCUGUCCAGUUGAAUUUCUUGAGAGUCAUUUGACCUUCUCAGCAGCUCUGGAGAACCCACAUUGACCAGAAACUUUGCAGCCAGCUCACCCCUCCAACUCCCCGCCCUGGAGUCCCUGACCCAGGAAUUUCUGCAUCAGGCUGCUCAAACCUGAAUUCGACAAAAUUUCAAAGCGCUGUAUCUUUAUGUUGAUAAGACAACAGAUAAAGUGCCAUACUUCGAACCUAGAUCACUCGAUGUUGCCUGUAGCUGAGUCCACUUCUGUCACUCACCCUGCAUUGCCCUGCUAGGAGCAAGGGAGAGAAAGCCAGCCAGAAGGCAUGGGCUCAAAUCUGUCUCCUCCUGUGGCCACUGUGAAAGUUGAUCAUACAAAGGACACUGUUGUCAUAGCCAAGCAGAGUUGAGACCAUGGGAAAAAGCACUUGGACCACGUAACAUUGCUCCAAGAGUAUAACUGUCUCCAACCCUGGCUGCUGGAACAAGUGUUGCAACCUGAAACCGGUUUGAUCUAAUAGCUACAGAAACAACCUGCGGAAAUCUAAGACUAGUUUCACCCACUCACCAAUCAGAGCUUGCCGGAUCCCCAAAACGUUGCUAGUGCUAAUGAACUUGCUUUCCUAACAAUCCAUACCAUUUCUCAUUUUUAUGAAACCUACAACCUUCUCUUUGCUCUUUGGACAUACUGAAGACCACCCAGUCUGUGUGUAUGCCCCAAACUGAAAUUCUUGCUCCCCAAAUAAAACAUUUUAAACAUAGAGAUUUGUCCGUAUAUUUUAUUUGACUUUGACAGCACCAGGGGCUCCGGCACAAAUCUCCUCCUUCAAGCCCUUUUCUACACAGUCCCGUGGGUCUGCCCUGAAAGAAGCCUGAUGAUGACUCAAAGACACAAUGUCACUGGGAGGUAAAUUCAGGAUUACUUGACCGAAUGGCCCACCCGAGGUCACGGAGGCUGCUGGAGGAACAGAAAAUGGUCUUCACCAAGUGAAGCAUUGUCGGUCUUGGCCUGUGUCUGGCUGGAGAAUGUUAAAAUUCUGGGGACACAACAGAAAAGGCACAGUUGUGGGGACCAGGCCAAUGUCAGCGUGAGAACUGGCUCCAUCCCCCUCCCAUGAAGUAGCUCUGCGGCCAAGGCAGGUCUGCAUUUCCUGGUCUGUGACACGGAGUCAGUAACAUUGCCUACUUCCCGGGGCUAUUUCCAGAGAAGUGAGGGAAUGGGUGUGGAACGCCUGCCAGCAUGAAACGUCUCUGUCUUUCUAGCCAGCCCUGAGCCAGGGAAGGGACUGGAAGCGCAGCGGGUGGCUGAGGCGGGCUUUCGGCAGCUUACCCCCAGCCUUGCCCCUCCCCGCCUGCUGAAACACAAAUCUAUGGUUGUCGCCUUCCUGGAGAUGUUAGCCGCCCCCUCCAGAGGUGGUUCCAAAUCUAUUUCUCAUUUGGCUGAUUUAGGAGAGGCUGCGAAUCGGUCGCUAUGGUUCCUUUAUUUUCUCCUGACAGCUUAGGAAUCAUUUUUCCAAUUAUUCCCAGGGGAGGAAAAAGAAGUGGAGGAAGCCAGUGUGUGGAAUGAGGGGAAGCUCACGGAUCUGAAAUGCAACCUCUUCUGCAGGAGACCCGGCGCAGCUACCGGGACCCAUCACCUCCCUGCAGGACCCCCGCCCAGCCCCCUCCAGCCAGCCCUGCGUGGUUGUGGCCCCACUGCAGAAACGCCUCCGCUUAACACUCCAGCCUCUCUCCUAUUCGGUCAGGCCACAGCUGCUGACUUGGUGCCUGCUGUAGCAACCCCGAGCCCCCAAAUAAACCCUCCCUCCCAGGGCGGCCUCUCUACGGGAGGAGACAGACGGUG